GCCGCGAUAGCUCAGUUGGUAGAGCGCAUCCAUGGUAAGGAUGAGGUCUCGGGUUCGACCCCCGAUCGUGGCUCCA
rnacentral:tRNA from 2 species